rnacentral:tRNA from 1 species
AAGACUCUAGUAAAUUAUUACAUGGCCCUGUCAGCDCCAAACAAUAGGUAAUCACCCCUAUGAGACUU